rnacentral:rRNA from 1 species
UACGUAGGGGGCUAGCGUUGUCCGGAAUCAUUGGGCGUAAAGCGCGUGUAGGCGGUCCGGUAAGUCCGCUGUGAAAGUCGGGGGCUCAACCCUCGGAUGCCGGUGGAUACUGUCGGGCUUGAGUACGGAAGAGGCGAGUGGAAUUCCCGGUGUAGCGGUGAAAUGCGCAGAUAUCGGGAGGAACACCGAUGGCGAAGGCAGCCCCCUGGGUUAACACUGACGCUCAGGCCCGAAAGCGUGGGGAGCAAACAGG